UGGGGAAUAUUGCACAAUGGGCGCAAGCCUGAUGCAGCCAUGCCGCGUGUGUGAAGAAGGCCUUCGGGUUGUAAAGCAACUUUCAGCGAGGAGGAAGGUGGUGAGCUUAAUACGCUCAUCAAUUGACGUUACUCGCAGAAGAAGCACCGGCUAACUCCGUGCCAGCAGCCGCGGUAAUACGGAGGGUGCAAGCGUUAAUCGGAAUUACUGGGCGUAAAGCGCACGCAGGCGGUUUGUUAAGUCAGAUGUGAAAUCCCCGGGCUCAACCUGGGAACUGCAUUUGAAACUGGCAAGCUAGAGUCUCGUAGAGGGGGGUAGAAUUCCAGGUGUAGCGGUGAAAUGCGUAGAGAUCUGGAGGAAUACCGGUGGCGAAGGCGGCCCCCCUGGACGAAGACUGACGCUCAGGUGCGAAAGCGUGGGGCAGCAAACAGGAUUAGAUACCCUGGUAGUCCACGCUGUAAACGAUGUCGAUUUGGAGGUUGUGCCCCUUGAGGCGUGGNUUCCGGAGCUAACG
rnacentral:rRNA from 1 species